UAAGCGGAGGGAAAGAAACUAACAAGGAUUGCCUUAGUAGCGGCGAGUGAACCGGCAACAGCUCAAAUUGUAAAUCUGUGGCACACAGUUACAGAAUUGUAAUCUAAAGGCUUUUUAGGGAAGUCAUGGUUCUCGCAUAAGUUCCUUGAAAAGGGGCGUCAUAGAGGGUAAAAACCCCGUGUUCGGCGAGGACUGGACGUACCGAAGGGCUCCAAGAGUCGGGUUGUUUGGGAUUGCAGCCCUAAAUGGGAGAUAAACUUCUUCUAAAGCUAAAUAUUAAUGGGAAACCGAUAGCGAACAAGUACUGCGAAGGAAAGAUGAAAAGAACUUUGAAAAGAGGGUUAAAAGACUUGAAAUCGUUGAGAAGAAAGCGGUAGGAGAGAAAUGUGUUCACGAAGAUUAUGCAUCGGAGUAAAGCCAGCCAGUGGUUAGGUACUUCAUAGGCCCGGCUAUUGGCUAGGUGUAGCUUGGUUGCUUUUUCCCAGUGAAAUGCACAAUGAGGUUUAAUUCUAGGAAACCUUCCCAAAAAGUCUCUGGCCUGGAUGCUAGAAGAUUGGGUAAGACACUAGAAUUUGGCCUGAGGGUCCUGAUGGAGAUUGUGCAAAAAAGGCUUCUACCGACCCGUCUUGAAACACGGACCAAGGAGUCUAAC
rnacentral:rRNA from 1 species